rnacentral:rRNA from 1 species
GAUGAACGCUGGCGGCGUGCUUAACACAUGCAAGUCGAACGAUGAAGCCCAGCUUGCUGGGUGGAUUAGUGGCGAACGGGUGAGUAACACGUGAGUAACCUGCCCUUAACUCUGGGAUAAGCCUGGGAAACUGGGUCUAAUACCGGAUAGGAGCGUCCACCGCAUGGUGGGUGUUGGAAAGAUUUAUCGGUUUUGGAUGGACUCGCGGCCUAUCAGCUUGUUGGUGAGGUAAUGGCUCACCAAGGCGACGACGGGUAGCCGGCCUGAGAGGGUGACCGGCCACACUGGGACUGAGACACGGCCCAGACUCCUACGGGAGGCAGAAGUGGGGAAUAUUGCACAAUGGGCGCAAGCCUGAUGCAGCGACGCCGCGUGAGGGAUGACGGCCUUCGGGUUGUAAACCUCUUUCAGUAGGGAAGAAGCGAAAGUGACGGUACCUGCAGAAGAAGCACCGGCUAACUACGUG